CCUCCCCCAAAUCUGCUGAAGCCCAAACGCGCGCGCCAACGCCCGCCGCCGCGACAGGCCAGGAGCCCCGCCCCUCCCCGCGAUGCCGCUCAAGCCGCACGGCGGCGGCGCCGGCAGCGGCGCCUUCGAGUACUGCGAGCUGUGCCGCCGCAACCACGACCAGGGCAGGCGCCACCGCUACUUCCCCGCCCACCGCGCCGCCCUCGCCGCCGCGCUCUCCGGCUUCCGCGCCAAGCUCGCCGACCUCCGCCGCGCGCUCCUCCGCCCCUCCGCGCCUGCCCCCCGCUCCCGCCUCUGGUGCCCCUUCUGCUCCGCCGACCUCGUCGACCUCGACAGCCGCUUCGCUUGUAGCAAUGCGAUUUACCAUCUCGCGAGCGAGGAGCACCUGAAGGGCGUCAAGGAUUUCCUGCGGAAGCAUGGGGGCGGGAUGGAUCAGGUCGAUUCGUUUAGGAUUUCAGAGGCUGAGCUUGCCAAGUGGGAGAAGGGCUGUGAGUCCUCCAGUACAGAAGCACAGGCAUUGGCCAAUGGCAUGAUUGGACCAUCUUUGAGGCCGUUGAAAGAUAUCCAAAAUGAAUCUACCUCUAAAAUUUUGGAUAGUUUUGCUGAAACUGACAUCCCAUCUUUUCGUAAUACUGCAUCUUGUGUUGUUAUGCCUUUACAAAGUCCUACCAAUGGGGCCUAUUACCCCACUAGUACAGCGUGUUAUGGAUCUUCCACCUCUGGAAGUGUUGCUUAUUCUGCUCCAUUUGGUACUUCUGGACUGCCCGUCAAACCCUGUGUCACAACACAUGGACAUCAGGGUAUGCCGAGUACAAACGUGUUUCAUAGUGCUGAUGCACGAAUGAAAGGUGCUCAAUCUACUUCCCUCGGAAAUGGACCAAAUCCACCAGCUUCUUCUUUUGUAUAUGUCCAACAGGGCCACUCUGGAGGGAAAUUCAAUCAGGGCCUGAAAGCAAAUGUGCAUACUGGCGCUCCUCCUCCAUGGUUAGAAGCUAGUGAGCAUGAUCCAAAGAAUGUGUCACUCGCCAGCUAUGCUCUUCCAUCUUCUCUGAAAGGAAAAUCAAGAAAACUUAACCCAAAGCGUGUUGGAGCUGCAUGGGCAGAGAGAAGAAGAGCUGAAAUGGAAAUGGAAAAGCGAGGUGAAGUUGUUCCAGAAACGCCUGAUGCUAGUUGGCUCCCUAAUUUUGGUGGUGUCUGGCAAUCUGGUUCGCGAAAGGAAUCGAGGAAAGAGUUUGAGAAAAAUCAUAAGCUUAAAGAGGAGAAUAAUCCUGAGUUACUCCCUGAGAUAAAACCAUAUAUCAGCAAAAGGAUGCGUGCAGGCUCUAAUAAAGAUGGACAACCGGACAGCACCGUAGAAUAGUGAGGAGAUGUGCAUUGUCCUGCCGGAUGCUUUAUGGUACGAAUCUAACUAAAUUCAGUAAAUGGUAAUUUGGAGCUUUUGACUCGUAUAUCCAGGAACAAGAAAUCAUGUUUAAUUACUGAACAAGACUCCCCUUGUUCCGUUAUCGCUUGAUAGUGGAACCAGUCCAAUUCUGGAUCGUAUGGAUAUUUUUUUACUGAACAGCACCAAGUUAUGAUUGAAAACUAGAUUCCGUUAACUCUCCUGUCUUCACAUAACGCAGAACAGAAAUCAGAGGUGCUACAAGAACGUCUGCACAUGUGCAACUAAAUGUGGCAUUGGGUACUCGUAGAUGGUCCUGCUAUCUCUUUUCCAAAUGCAAUAGACCCACCCAACAACUGUUUCUUGCUUUCCGUCCAUCGCUAUGCGGUUUGGCGUCUGCAGAUUGUGGUCACGGUAGGUUUUCUGUAGAAGUUCUGCAAAACGGUCCAGUGGGCAGCUUUUGUUUCUGUACAGGAACGCUCUGGAUCGUGUCGUGGUUGAAGGAAAGGCAAUCUCUUGGGCGCAUGAUUGAAGAGAUCUUUUUUUGUUUGUAGUUUGACAGUGUGUGGAGUGCCAAUCAACCCAAGUGAAGAAAAGUUGGGACACUUUCCAAGAAGAGUUACCUGUCUUGUGAAAAUCUUUUCAGAAUGUUGUUGGUGCCUUGGUCGUUGUGGGGGGUGAUUGAUCGAGCGUGGAUUUGCUCCUGAUCAUAUGACAUGGAUAAUUGAUUGUCCUAGCUAAUAAUUAAGGUUGACUUAUAGGCUACAUUUGUCCCGUCCAACCUAGCUUGUCGAUUUGGUAGCUUGGCAGCACAAUUGGAGCAAAACCCAGAGCGUAGUCCCUGAGCUUGUUUGUCUGAUGGCAUGUAAAGAAACCACGGCAUUUUUACUAAUGUUGCCUGCUGAAAGGCUGCCGCUUGGCAUCUAUUUUCUGAUGGAAUGAUCUUUGUUUUGAA